rnacentral:misc_RNA from 1 species
AACCGUCACGGUUUUACUCUUGUGAUUUGUUGCAUGGUAAGAACCGUCGACCAAGAAUCGAAGUUUUCUUUGGCAGCCCUACACACGGGG